rnacentral:rRNA from 1 species
GACGAACGCUGGCGGCGUGCUUAACACAUGCAAGUCGAACGGAAAGGCCCUGCUUUUGUGGGGUGCUCGAGUGGCGAACGGGUGAGUAACACGUGAGUAACCUGCCCUUGACUGUGGGAUAACUUCAGGAAACUGGGGCUAAUACCGGAUAGGAGCUCCUGCUGCAUGGUGUGGGUUGGAAAGUUUCGGCGGUGGGGGAUGGACUGGAGGGUUAUCAGCUGGUUGGGCGGGUAGUGGCGUACCACGGCUUUGACGGGUAGCCGGCCUGGGAGGGUGACCGGCCACCAUGGGACUGCGGUACGGACCAGUCUCCUACGGGCCGCAGCGGUGGAGAAUAUUGCACAACUGGCCGACGCCUGAUGUGGAGGCGUCGCGUGCGGGAUGCUGGCCUACGGGUGAUGAACCGCUUUCGACUGUACUGUAGCGAGCGUGACGGUAACGAGUCAGGAAGCCCCGGCUAACUACGUG